rnacentral:misc_RNA from 1 species
CACAGGCACAACCAUUUCGAUAAAGCUUGUUGGUCACAGGAGUUAACUUAGAGUUUCACAGUUGCCAUGGAUACCAGAGAUAGCAAUGUGUUACUUCCAAGAGAGAGUGCCAAAUUGAUCGCUAAUAACAGUAAGGAUGUUAAGAUACAUCCUGAAGGUGUAAAAAAAAUUGCCAAUCAUAUGUAUGAAUGUGCAAAGAAGAACACAUACAAUCUACAAUCCUGGCGAACAGAGCAUGAAUUAAAUCCCCAAAGUCAAGACGAGUCAGCCCUUGAUUGGGUAUUUGUGGCUGACACUCUAAACUUCUCCUUCUGGUCUGAUGACGAAUCACAAAAGUAUCGCAUCAAGUUUAACGGCAAAGAAUACACCGGAUAUUGGUCAUGGUGUGCCGCCCUCAACAGAGCUUUGAAGAAUGAUGUCAAUAUUACGGAUGCCAACUUUUACGCUAACAUAACUGAGAAAAAACUGGCUGAGAUUCUUAAAUCCGACUCAGACACGCCCAUACCUCUACUGGAGGAGAGGGUGGCUGUACUGAGGGAAGCGGGGAAAGUCCUGUUAGAGAAAUAUGAAGGAAAGUUUUUAAACUGUGUGAAGGCCUGUAACAAGAGUGCCCAGUCCCUGCUUCAGCUAGUGGUCAGGGAUUUCCCUUCAUACAGGGAUGAGGCAGAUUAUCAGGGAAAACGAGGUAGGAGGCGUUUUCUUUCCAAAUACUUGUAGAUCAACCUCUCAAAACAGUAAUGAUUCUUAAGUUUAUAAUUCUUUUAAAUAUUAUCACUCAGCAGGAACAUACUGUAAACUCUUAAACGCGAGGAAUUUUUAUCCGCAUAAAAUAGCUAGAAGCACCCCUCGCGGAUUGUAAAAUCUCGCCAUUUUUUUUCUAAUAGUUUGGAACUAUAAGAAAUGUGGAUAAAUGAUCAGCGUUCGCGAUUCUAUAUUCUUACGAUUUGAUACAAAACAGUGGGAUCGCGGAAAUAGUACUCGCAUAAUAUAAGGAAUUUACAGUAAUGUAAAAUUUUGAUUUAAAGGUGUAUGUUCCAGCUUGUAAUUUUUCUUUCUCUCAAGAUUAUGGCCAGAAGGCCUGAAAACUAUAGUCAGUCCAAAGAUAUUUAUGCUGCACUUUUUGAUGAUUUUUGAUAAAAAUGCACAUACCUGUGAGAAAAGUGGAAUUGAAAUUGAUGAAAGGGAAAAUGUCCCAGAUAUCUUUAUCGUUAUGCACUCAUAAAAACUCACAGAAACGAAAACCGAUUUCCUACAGAGAUUUAUAAUGGGGAAUGAUUACAUCUUUUCUCUGUUCAGAAGUCACUCGGAACACCUUGCACAGUUUUUCAAAAUUAUCAUCCAAGCUAUUUCGUAGCUGAUGGAAUGCAAAAUCCCAGUAGACUUUCUAUUUUUAGCUGUGUUUUGAAACCUGACAAGCUAGAGGGGACAUUUCAAAGGGGGAAAUCAUUGGAUUUUUUCAUACUAUUGAAUGAACAUCGAUUGAAACCAGAGUAUCUUUCUACAAGAGGGCUCAGAUUUUAGUAGCUGAUAUAUGGGCCUGCUUUGAAGGGAAGAGCUAUGGGGAAUUCCAUGAUAUAGACACCAUUACUAUGUUUGCUGAUUAUAGAAUUCCUCAGGCAUUGUAUCAUUUUGGAGCUUUGUCUUACAGUGAGGAGCUGAUGAAAUAUCUAAAAGCAGAGAAAAUGAUGCAGACAGGGGAUCGAUAUGAAGUAGACAUUCGUGGUUGCAGUAUUUGGGCAACAGAGAUGGUUGCAGAAAAAACACGAGAAUUAAUAGAAAAAGACUCGUCACUGAAAGAUGUCUUGAUGAAUUCUAUCCUUAUAGAUCACUAUCUAUGGGAUUUCAGACGUGACCAUGCUGAGGAAAUGCGGGAUAAUAUCCCAUUCCAUCAUAUUCGAUGCAUUUACUACUGAUCAUUUUAUUUGACUUAUACAUGUACUUUCAAAAUAAAAUAAUUUUCAUUCU